GCAAUCAAUUUUGACACAUGAAACGUCGACAAAGAAAUUUUGGAAACAGUAAUUGGAACCUCUGUACUCCACCAAUCCAAAACUAUCAUGCCACCUCAGCAAAAAUAACUAAAAAUGGCGUCUUUUCUAAGUGAAUGAAUGAAUGGAUAAGUGCAAGUGGAGCUACUUGUGUAAAUGGUUUGCAUUCUCAACCGAGUCCCUUACAAUCUUCCAAGGCUGCAGUAAGUUCAAAACCCUAAUCCUAAUCAAAGAUUUCCCAUUUUCCACUUGAAACUUGGUAGCAAUUGCUGCGGCAAUCUCAACUUGUGCGGCACACAUGGACUUCAAUAGUAAUGAAGAAUUCCUCAAAGCGUUUCCUCCGAACUUCGAUCCACAAAUUGCCCCUCCGAAGAAAAUCUGGGUGCUGGAUUUGGGUGAUUCAAUACCACAGGUAUUAGUAGUAUGCGACAUGUUUUAGUAUGUGAUUGCGUGAUUUGGGAAGACAACCGAUGCUUUGAAUGAAUCCAAUAACAAACUGGUGCAAAACGUUUCAGGAAAACAUUGCAGCUACAGCUUGGGAGUUCCAAGAGGAAGGUCGUCAUGAAGCACAAUUCAUGGAAACGGAAGAACCGAUGCGGGCUGAGAGGGAACCUGCAGGCAAUGCCAGAAAUGAAACGGAGCAGGGGCAACACGAACCAUUGCCUCCCAAUGAAGCCAUCGCAACUGCCGAGGCUAGGCCAUGGGUUCUGUCAUCUCCAGAACUGGCCGUUUCCAA
rnacentral:lncRNA from 1 species